UACGUAGGGUGCAAGCGUUGUCCGGAAUUAUUGGGCGUAAAGAGCUCGUAGGCGGUCUGUCGCGUCGGCUGUGAAAAACUCGGGGCUCAACUCCGAGCUUGCAGUCGAUACGGGCAGGCUAGAGUUCGGCAGGGGAGACUGGAAUUCCUGGUGUAGCGGUGAAAUGCGCAGAUAUCAGGAGGAACACCGGUGGCGAAGGCGGGUCUCUGGGCCGAUACUGACGCUGAGGAGCGAAAGCGUGGGGAGCGAACAGG
rnacentral:rRNA from 1 species